AUGAGUUUCUUAGUCUGUAAUUUUUGUGAUUUUAUCCAGGAAAUAUAGGAGCUGUGGUGAUGAAAUUUUCCAACACAAAAGAAAAAGACAUAGAAGCAGUACGGUAAUCAAAUACUGGCUGAAGUCUCCAAAAACUCGGUUUACCAGCAAAGAGAAAUCUAAAAAUGUUCAAACACCGGAUCCUGGAGGAAAUUCUGAAUGCUACAAAAAUUGAGAUUGAAUUGAGGUGCAGUAACAUAAACCAGUAUGUAGCUCAAAAAAUUGCUACUUUAAACAGGAAGAGAUUGAAGUAUUC